rnacentral:lncRNA from 1 species
UGGCCUUAUUUAUACAAACAAGAAAGCAUGAAUUUGUGAUGAUAUAGAGGUGGAAAUCAAGGGCUUUCCAUAACUUCUUUCCUUAUCUGGAUUCGAAUAUGCUGUGAUCUUUUUUCUUGUUUAGAUUUCGUUAAGAAUUUAAUUUUUAAAUUCAAAUUUUUUUUGCCAAAUAUCCAUUCACAAUGAAAGGAUUGAUUUUGUGCCAUAUCAUAUGCUCCCUAAUUCUGAGCCCAAGCCAUUUUCCUCGAUUCGAACGAAGGAAGGAGUAUG